rnacentral:lncRNA from 1 species
UAGAAGCUUACACUAGGGUAGUGGCAACAGAGGUGGUGAGACACGGCUGCAUUCUGUAUAUUUUGUAAGAGUAGAGACAAUGUGAUCUGUUAAUUAGUUGGCUGUAAGGCAUAAGAAAAAAAAUGAAUCAGGAUAAAUCUAAACUUAUGUCCAGAGUAACUAAAAAGAUGGUUUUCCCUUAACUAAAAUCAAGCUAUCAGGAAGGAACAGUGUGGGUGUAAAGGGAUUACAAGGAGCUUGAUUUUAAGCAAGUUUAAUAGCACUUAUUUUCCAUCAAAUAAUACAAUAUCCUGCUUUGCAAAUGAGCAACAAAAAUUAUAGCAAUGAAAUGAAGAGUCAAGACCCAAUGAGAAAAAGUGCCUCAGCCUCCUGAGUAGCUG